rnacentral:miRNA from 1 species
AUAUAAGUCAGUUAACCUGAGGAUCUUGUUAAAAUGCAGAUUGUGAGGAUGGGGCCUGACAGUCUGCAUUUCUAUCUAACAAGCUCCCAGGAUGCUCAUGU